rnacentral:rRNA from 1 species
CUGCGGAAGGAUCAUUACCGAGUGUAGGGUUCCUAGCGAGCCCAACCUCCCACCCGUGUUUACUGUACCUUAGUUGCUUCGGCGGGCCCGCCAUUCAUGGCCGCCGGGGGCUCUCAGCCCCGGGCCCGCGCCCGCCGGAGACACCACGAACUCUGUCUGAUCUAGUGAAGUCUGAGUUGAUUGUAUCGCAAUCAGUUAAAACUUUCAACAAUGGAUCUCUUGGUUCCGGCAUCGAUGAAGAACGCAGCGAAAUGCGAUAACUAGUGUGAAUUGCAGAAUUCCGUGAAUCAUCGAGUCUUUGAACGCACAUUGCGCCCCCUGGUAUUCCGGGGGGCAUGCCUGUCCGAGCGUCAUUGCUGCCCAUCAAGCACGGCUUGUGUGUUGGGUCGUCGUCCCCUCUCCGGGGGGGACGGGCCCCAAAGGCAGCGGCGGCACCGCGUCCGAUCCUCGAGCGUAUGGGGCUUUGUCACCCGCUCUGUAGGCCCGGCCGGCGCUUGCCGAACGCAAAUCAAUCUUUUUCCAGGUUGACCUCGGAUCAGGUAGGGAUACCCGCUGAACUUAAGCAUAUCAUA